UUUCCGUAGGUGAACCUGCGGAAGGAUCAUUAAAGAGUAAGGGUCUUCGGGCCCGAUCUCCAACCCUUUGUUUAACUACCAUGUUGCUUUGGCGGGCCCGUCUCACGACCGCCGGAAGUUUGGCUUCGACCAAAUUUCUGGCCCGUGCCCGUCAGUGGCCCCUUCAAAUUCUUGAUCAAGUAUGAUGUCUUAGUUAAAAACUUAAUAGUUAAAACUUUCAACAACGGAUCUCUUGGUUCUG
rnacentral:misc_RNA from 1 species